AUAACCUUUAAUUUGAUCCAGAGAGAUCAGCAAGGAAGUUAUAUAAUACCAUAUUUACAGGAUUAUUAUGCCUUCCUUCAUGCGUGAAGAAGGCUUUUUUUAU
rfam:Clostridium botulinum B str. Eklund 17B, complete genome.